rnacentral:misc_RNA from 1 species
GUCAAGCAUAAACUGGGUCUGCAAUGGCAGUUUAGAUCAAUAAAGUAAAAAAAUCUGGGAAAGAGAUACAAUGUUCUCUCCAAAAAAUACAUGGGAACUUGAGAAAUGCCAUGAAAACCUGAACAGUGUCCCCAAACAAAUGAGUGAUCAGCCUAAAUUUUUUGUGUUAUUGUCAGAUUGUAUUGUUCUUUUCUGCUAUGUUUCUGCAGAUUGUUAUAGGUCUUGAUCUGUUUUGUGUUCUUGCCUUUUAGCAUUUAAAUUCCUAGGUUGGGUGUAUCUAGGCAGCCUUUCUUUUUUUCCUAAAUUUUAUUAAUUAAUAAAUUUUUGCUUAUAAAAAAAUUAGUGAAAUAGAAAAAGUCAUAUAUUGAUUUUAUAAAAACAUGUAAAUAUUGGAAAAGAAAAUGAAAAUACAAGGAUGGGUCAAGAAAAACAGGGAAACGUAAUCAGAAUAAUAAAAAUUAGUUUAUUGUUAGAACAACCACUCUCCUUUGCAUCGAUCUUCUCUACCCUUUCUUGCAUAUAUGCUUCCCCUGACUCUAUCAUCAGAGAUCGUUAAUGCAUGCUUCAUUGACCCAGAAGGGAUCUUUUCUGGAUUGUGCUGUGUUAGCAUGUCAGAUAUUCUAGUGAUUGUAAAAGCAAACAUGCAGGACCACAGAUUCAUUUACCCUAGUGGACCGAACUUGCUUCAG